rnacentral:rRNA from 1 species
CCGGAAAAAGAGGAGUGGCGAACGGGUGAGUAACACGUGGGUAACCUGCCCAUCAGAAGGGGAUAACACUUGGAAACAGGUGCUAAUACCGUAUAACAAUCAAAACCGCAUGGUUUUGAUUUGAAAGGCGCUUUCGGGUGUCGCUGAUGGAUGGACCCGCGGUGCAUUAGCUAGUUGGUGAGGUAACGGCUCACCAAGGCCACGAUGCAUAGCCGACCUGAGAGGGUGAUCGGCCACAUUGGGACUGAGACACGGCCCAAACUCCUACGGGAGGCAGCAGUAGGGAAUCUUCGGCAAUGGACGAAAGUCUGACCGAGCAACGCCGCGUGAGUGAAGAAGGUUUUCGGAUCGUAAAACUCUGUUGUUAGAGAAGAACAAGGAUGAGAGUAACUGUUCAUCCCUUGACGGUAUCUAACCAGAAAGCCACGGCUAACUACGUGCCAGCAGCCGCGGUAAUACGUAGGUGGCAAGCGUUGUCCGGAUUUAUUGGGCGUAAAGCGAGCGCAGGCGGUUUCUUAAGUCUGAUGUGAAAGCCCCCGGCUCAACCGGGGAGGGUCAUUGGAAACUGGGAGACUUGAGUGCAGAAGAGGAGAGUGGAAUUCCAUGUGUAGCGGUGAAAUGCGUAGAUAUAUGGAGGAACACCAGUGGCGAAGGCGGCUCUCUGGUCUGUAACUGACGCUGA